rnacentral:rRNA from 1 species
GUCGAGCGAAUCUGAUGGGAGCUUGCUCCUUGAAGAUAACCGCCGAAGGGUGAAGUAACCGGGGGUAAACCGGCCGGUAAAAUGGGAAUACUUCCGGGAACCGGGGCUUAAACCGGAAUAAUUUUUUCCUUCCAUGGAGGGAAAUUGAAAGGGGGCUCCCUGGUUACCCCUUUUAAAUGGACCCCCGGCCCAUUAGCUAUUUGGGGAGGAAACGGUUCCCCAAGGCAACAAUGCGUACCCAAUUUGAAAGGGGGAUGGGCCACCCUGGGACUGAACCCCUUCCCAAAUUCUUACGGAAGGCAGCACCAGGAAAUCUUCCCCAAUGGACAAAAGUCUGACGGACCACCCCCCCGGGAGGGAUGAGGGUUUUCCCAUCGUAAAACUCUGUGGUUAGGAAAAAACAAUUUUCCUCCGAUUAGGCCGGUCCCUUAACGGAACUUACCCAAAAAGCCCCGGUUAAUAAGAUGCCACCACCCGGGGAAGUUCUUAGGGGGGAAUCGUUUUCCGGAAUUUUGGGCNGUAAAUGGGCCGCAGCCCGUUCCUUACUUUGAAUGUGAAACCCCCCGGCUCACCCCGGAAGGGCAAUGGUAAAUGGGAAAACUUGAGGGCUAAAAAAAAAGACCGAAUUUCCCCCUGUACCGUCGACAUGCGUAGAGUGGAGUACCAACGCCUCUGAUAAAGGUGGCUCUUUGGUCUGUAACGACCCCUCAGCCGUUAAGGCUGAGAGCGACAGGAUAAAUACGCUGCUACUCCACCGCUGCACACGAUAACUGUUCACNGUAAAUGGUUUCCGCCCUUCAGUGCUGCAGCUACCCAUUAACCAUUCCGCCUCGGGGAGUGAGGCCGCAGCGCUGACACUCAAUGAAUAGACGNCG